rnacentral:rRNA from 1 species
UACGUAGGGUGCGAGCGUUGUCCGGAAUUCUUGGGCGUAAAGGGCUCGUAGGCGGUUUGUCGCGUCGGGAGUGAAAACCUCGGGCUUAACUCGGGGCUUGCUUUCGAUACGGGCAGACUGGAGGUAUGCAGGGGAGAACGGAAUUCCUGGUGUAGCGGUGAAAUGCGCAGAUAUCAGGAGGAACACCGGUGGCGAAGGCGGUUCUCUGGGCAUGACCUGACGCUGAGGAGCGAAAGUGUGGGGAGCGAACAGG